AUAACCACAACUUUUGGGCCAUUAAGCAAUUAACCUCAACUUUUGGGCUAUAUUGCAAAACUUUUGGGGUCACUUUGUAAAGACACAAAAGUCCACUACUUCAUGUAAUUACAUUAGAACCCAAAAUUUAAUCAAUGCAAAAACUUCAUUAAAGGAGCAAAACAAUUUGUCCUUUAGCGUUUUUGGACCUUAAACGUAAAAACGUAAACUUUUGGGCCAAAGUGCAAAUACACAAAAGUAUCAAAACUUUAUGUAAUUGCAUAAAAGCCCCAAAAGUACUCCCACUUGAGGGAGGGCCGGUUUUGGAAGAAGAAAUGGAGUGAUGUGUGUGUUGAUUUGUAAUUUGACAUAAAGCAUGCAAGUGCACAAGUGGUGUGUGUGAAAGGGUUUUAAUCCUUUCACACCCACCAUUAUUUCUAUUGCCAUUUAAACAAAUAUCUAAAACAUUUAAACAUUUGAAAAACAUAAAACAUAAACUUUAUGUAAUAAAUCAAAACUUUGAAUCAAAACACAAACCUUUUUGUUCUUGGCAAAAAUGUCAAGAACAAUGAAGAACAUUCAUGAAAAAACCCAAAAAAUUUCCAUGAACUUUUUUCACCCAAAAACAUUCCAAAACCAUUCAAACUUUAGGGAAAUAACAUCUAACCAAACUA
rnacentral:lncRNA from 1 species